GACGAAGGAUGCAAGCGUUAUCCGGAUUCAUUGGGUUUAAAGGGAGCGUAGGUGGCCUUAUAAGUCAGUGGUGAAAUCUCUGGGCUUAACCCAGAAAUUGCCAUUGAUACUGUAGGGCUUGAGUAUAGAUGCCGUUGGCGGAAUAUGACAUGUAGUGGUGAAAUACAUAGAGAUGUCAUAGAACAUCGAUUGCGAAGGCAGCUAACGAAACUAUAACUGACACUGAGGCUCGAAAGUGUGGGGAUCAAACAGG
rnacentral:rRNA from 1 species